AGGCCCAUAGUGUCAGUGGCUAGCACGAAGGUCUCCAAAACCUUAAGGUCGGGUUCAAAUCCUGAUGGGCCUGCCA
rnacentral:tRNA from 1 species